rnacentral:tRNA from 1 species
GAGGUGUUAGUAAAAUAAUUACAUAGCCUUGUCAAGGCUAAAUUACAGGAGAAAAACCAGUACACCUCAACACUAA